GGAGCAUGCCGGGACUGGCCUGACGCUGGCGUCACGCCGGGGGCGGAGCCUCGGCUGCGUCAGGCGGCCGGCGGGGUGGCGAACCCCGCGGCACAAUGGGCGGGCCGCGGGGCUCUCGGGGGUUGGGGUCUCGGGGAGCGCGCACUGCCAGGCGCUCCGCUCCGCUACUGUGGGGCUGGCUGGGCUUCUGCACCCGAAGGAACCCGAAUGUUGCCGAGCCCUGCCGGAGCGCUCACGAGCCUGGCCGAACUCUGCCGAGCCCUGCCGGAGCUCUAACGAGCCUUGCCCGAGCCCUCCCGGGGUCCUGCCGAACUCAGCCGAGCCCUGCCGGAGUCCUGUCGAGCUUUGCCGAGCCCCGCCGAACUCUACAGAUGCCCUGUGGAGCGGUACCCAGCCCGGUCAGGCCUUAAUAGAGCGACACCUUUCUAGAUCAAUAGGGUCCUGGGCUCUGGCCUUACUUAGGGCUGAGGUUUUUAGGGGGUGCAGAAGGCAUGUCCAGAAAUAACCCUAAAUUUAGGCUGUGAGCUUGGCCACAAUCCGGCCAAGCUGGAUUAAUUUGUUCGUCUUAUUCCUGAAGCUGUGUACACGAAAUCCACAUGCUAGGUUUAGCAACCAAAUUCCCCGGCGGUGCAUAGAGAUCACAGUAUUUAGGACAACUUUAAGUAAAAUAAGAGUAAACCGACGAUGGUGGUGUGAUGACGUACACCUGUUAUCCCAGCUCCCAGAAGGCUCAGGCAGGAGGAUUGCCACGAGUUCGAAGCCAGCCUGAGCUAUAUAGUGAGUUCCAGGUCUGCCAGGGCUACUUAGCCAUCAAAUAGGGUAAGACAACUGCAACACUCAUUUUAAGGGUCGGAUACUUGACCUUGCUGAGAAUUACUCACAGCCUGUAAAAACAAGGUAGAGGCUGGGAGAGUGAUGGAAAGAAAAAUAGACGACUGUGGGGGAUAAGUCACAGUGGGCCCUGGGACUGGGCGGGGCUACGUGAACCCUCCAGUGUCUGUUGGAAACGCCUCUCGCUGCCUGUUAGAGGAAUGUCCUAGUCGGAAACCGCAUCAUCUACAACGGUCUGCACUUCCCCAGUUUCCUUUUAUGACGGAAACAAUGGAGGCGAGUUUCACCCAGGCUUCUGGCUUCCCUGGGGCUGAGAACAAAGGGAACACAUUUGUUCGUGAAUGGUCAAAAUGUUUUAUCAUCUACUGGGAUACAUGUAUGUUCUCAUUGUUCUGAAUGAGCCUACUUACCUUUGUAAGUCACAAAACAAAUGCAUCAGGGAUAAUGAUAAACUUCCUAAAAGGAAAUCCACUUUUGCAUUUUUGCAGCAUAAUCAGUUUAUUGAACAUUUUCCAGACAGCUUGGUGUGGGUUUUGGUUUUUCCCUCAUGAUUUCUGCCUGCUGGUUUCUUGGUCGCAUCUGCUCAGCUCAUCAGGAAGGCCUUAUACACAACUCGUUCCCAGAUGCUGUUCCCACUGCUUCCAUCACAGAAAUCCAUGGGAAACAACAUAAAGCAUCUACUGAGGAAAAUACUCUGUGAAAUAAAAUUAUGCAGGCAUGUCUAACAGCUGGAUCAUCUACUCAACUGAAAACAUGUUUAAUUGGUUAUUACCCAGAGGAUUCUGAAUCAACAUACCACAGAGGCACUCACAUAUCCGUGUUUAUUGCUGAGCUAAUCUCAAUACUGAGAAGUGGAACCAGCCUAGAUGGCCAUCAAAAGACAAAUAGAAGAUCUUUGUGAGUUCAAGGAAGAGCCUGUCUCAUAGUAAGUUCCAGGACAGCCAGAGCUACAAAGUGAGGUCCUGUCUCCAAAUAAAUAAAUAAAUAAAUAGGGACAAAAAGACAAAUGAGUGAAGAAAAUAUGGGGACAUACACAACCCAUUUUGCUUAGCUCUUAUGAAAAAUGAAAUUGUAAUAUUUGAAGAAAAACAUAGAACUGGAGAUCAUUGUGUUAAGCAAAAUAAGCCAGAAUGAGACAUAGUCUGUGUUUUCUCGUGUGUGUGUGUGUGUGUGUGUGUGUGUGUGUGUGUGUGUGUGUGUAAACUGGAAGAUCAUAAGAUGGAAAGAAGAGAUAAGGGAAGGAGAAAGAGAGAGAGUAAUUGGAUUCCUAUGGCAUCAAAGCAAAA